rnacentral:tRNA from 1 species
GCCUGGGUGGCUCAGUGGGUUAAGCAUCUGACUCUUGAUUUUAGCUCAGGUCAUGAUCUCAGGAUCAUGGGAUCAAGCCCCGUAUCAGGCA